GGCGGACGGGUGAGUAACGCGUGGGUAACCUGCCCUUUUGUGGGGAGACAACUUCGAGAAAUCGGAGCUAAUACCGCAUAAUAAUAGAGGAUCGCAUGAUUCUUUAAGGAAAGAUGGCCUCUGAAGAUGCUAUCGCAAAAGGAUGGACCCGCGUCUGAUUAGCUAGUUGGAAGGGUAACGGCCUACCAAGGCAACGAUCAGUAGCCGGCCUGAGAGGGUGAACGGCCACAUUGGGACUGAGACACGGCCCAAACUCCUACGGGAGGCAGCAGUGGGGAAUCUUCCGCAAUGGGCGAAAGCCUGACGGAGCAAUGCCGCGUGAGUGAAGAAGGCCUUCGGGUUGUAAAACUCUGUCCUUAUCGAAGAGAGGUAGGUAUGUGAAUAAUGUACCUAUAGGACGGUAGAUAAGGAGGAAGCCCCGGCUAACUACGUGCCAGCAGCCGCGGUAAUACGUAGGGGGCGAGCGUUGUCCGGAAUCACUGGGCGUAAAGGGCGCGUAGGCGGUUUAAUAAGUCAGUGGUGAAAACUGAGGGCUCAACUCUCAGCCUGCCACUGAUACUGUUAGACUUGAGUAUGGAAGAGGAGAAUGGAAUUCCUAGUGUAGCGGUGAAAUGCGUAGAUAUUAGGAGGAACACCAGUGGCGAAGGCGAUUCUCUGGGCCAAGACUGACGCUGAGGCGCGAAAGCGUGGGGAGCAAACAGGAUUAGAUACCCUGGUAGUCCACGCCGUAAACGAUGGAUACUAGGUGUUAGUAGUUUCGAUGCUACUAGUGCC
rnacentral:rRNA from 1 species